GCUUGAGUCAGCUCAGAAAUCAAUGAUAAGACAUAUCCUGUAAGCCUGUGUACAACAUGUGGGCAGAGUAAAGAUAAAGUAAUUUUCCAGCUGUUAAAAUCAUGAGCAGAGGAGUCCCUUCAGCGAGUUCCCUUGUGUAGGAUAGAAAGUUAAGGCAGGAUGGAGUGGGCAGGACGCUUGCAUGAUGCCUGGAAAAUGAAGUGGGAGAGAAGACCAUGUGGUUGUGGGAAGGCCCCUGAGCACUGAGAGGACAGAUCCCAGGAAAGAGUUUCUUUGUGGAACUCACUGUUUCAACCUACACCCUUUCUGCCACUUUGCUGCACCCCGGCUUUGACAGUUUCCGGAAGCUGGCUGGCUCUCCUGCUUGCAGAUCCUCAGCUGUGCUCAGCAAGUAUGCCUAAAAGGAAAACUGUCUAUUGAAUGGAAACGUACAUAGAGGAAAGCACACAGAUCAACAUGGACGAGCAAGUAUGUGAAAUGGAUAUUGCUCAGAAAGAGAACAGAGG
ensembl:lncRNA